UCUAUAUCUCAGAUCCCUGUUCGUAAUGGAAUUUCUUAAAAUCUUAAAGUGUAGUAUCUUCUAUUUCCAGGAUGCUGUGGCUUUAGUGCAGGACAUAGCAGACGCAGAAGAAGCAUCUAGAAAACUCAUCCAAGAGGCUUUUGCACGCGGUAGCUCAGACAACAUAACUUGUGUUGUUGUCCAGUUUGAUAUUUCAGAGUAGACUCGUUCAUAUUCCAAGGUUCAGCUUACUUAUUAAAACGGCAUCCAAGCAAUGUGGAAAGACUAUUGAGGCAAUAGUUUCCUGAAAUUGUCUUUAAGUAAUUAGUGUAUUGGGCUGACAGCUCAGUUUUCAAGUUGUAAGUCCUGAACUCCUGGUUGUCACCACAACCCGUAGUGAAUUGUCAAUUGUUGCUUCAAUGUAGUUUUGAAUUUGAGUUCCUUCUUUUUGUUGUGAAAAUGAAAGCUUGGAUGCCUUUCAAAUGGCCACAUCCAAAAAGAAGGAAAAACCUGUGUGUGUUUUUGUGUGUUUUGUAUCUCUGUCUUCAAGGACUGGUUAUUGAGGAUUGACAAAUGAUACGAGUUCAUACAGGUGCUCGACCUGGUA